rnacentral:rRNA from 1 species
UACGAGGGGGGCAAGCGUUGUUCGGAAUUAUUGGGCGUAAAGGGCGCGUAGGCGGUGCGGUAAGUCACCUGUGAAAACUCUGGGCUCAACUCAGAGCCUGCAGGCGAAACUGCCGUGCUUGAGUGUGGGAGAGGUGCGUGGAAUUCCCGGUGUAGCGGUGAAAUGCGUAGAUAUCUGGAGGAACACCGGUGGCGAAGGCGGCGACCUGGUCCGUGACUGACGCUGAGGCGCGAAAGCGUGGGGAGCAAACAGG